GGGGCCGGCGGCACCGCGAUCUCGCCGGGGCAGCGGGGGGCCGAGCGGGCGGCGCGGCGCAGGGGCCGACGGGGGCGCUGGGCGGCUGCGCCGGAAGUGCCCAGAACGCCGGAGGAAGCACAGCGGCCGCCAGGCUGCCGAGCCGGCGGCGAGGCCCUGUGCUCCUGGGCUGGGUGCGGGCUGCUGGGAACAGGCGUCAGCGGCGCCGAGGCUGCGGGACACGGCGCGGGCAGUCUGCGGGACGGGCCCCAGGUGGAGAGGAGGACGCGAGGAGGCCGCGCCGAGGCCAGGCAGCGAGCUCUGAAGCCCGGAGACCCGGGCCGCGGCACAGCUCCCACAUGGCCUCCGGAGGGGGCGCGGCCUUCGAGGAGCUGCCGCCCGACGGCACGUGUGAUGAGUGCGAGCCAGACGAGGCUCCGGGAGCCGAGGAAGUGUGCCAGGAAUGCGGCUUCUGCUACUGCCGCCGCCACGCGGAGGCGCACGGGCAGAAGUUCCCCAGGCACCACCUGGCCGAGUACGUCCACGGAGCCGCCCAGGCCUGGACCCCGGGAGCCCGGGGGGAUGGGGCGGGAGAGGAAGAAGUCGAGGCCCAGGUAGAGAACGAGAAGGCCCUAGAAAGCGAGGCGGGGGAAGAGACCGAGUCCGAGGAAGACUGUGAGUCCGAAGAAGAGAGUCAGACGGAGGAGGAGAGCGAAGACGAGAGUGAGGAAGACAGUGAGGAAGACAGUGAGGAAGAAAUGGAGGAUGAGCAAGAGAGCGAAGCAGAGGAAGACAACCAGGAGGAAGGAGAAUCGGAAGCGGAGGGAGAAACUGAGGCAGAAAGCGAAUUUGACCCAGAAAUAGAAAUGGAAGCGGAGAGAGUGGCCAAGAGGAAGUGUCCGGACCAUGGGCUCGAUUUGAGUACCUAUUGCCAGGAAGAUAAGCAGCUCAUCUGUGUCCUGUGCCCAGUCAUUGGGGCACAUCAGGGCCACCAGCUCUCCACCCUAGACGAAGCCUUCGAAGAACUAAGAAGCAAAGAUUCAGGCGGACUGAAGGCGGCUAUGAUAGAGUUGGUGGAAAGGUUAAAGUUCAAGAGCUCAGACCCUAAAGUAACCCGGGACCAGAUGAAGGUGUUUAUACAGCAGGAAUUUAAGAAAGUUCAAAAAGUGAUUGCUGAUGAGGAGCAGAAGGCCCUUCAUUUAGUGGACAUCCAGGAAGCAAUGGCCACAGCUCAUGUGACUGAGAUACUGGCAGACAUCCAGUCCCAUAUGGAUAGAUUGAUGACUCAGAUGGCCCAAGCCAAGGAACAACUUGAUACCUCUAAUGAAUCAGCUGAGCCAAAGGCAGAGGGCGACGAGGAAGGACCCAGGGAAUCAGAGAAGAUUUCACAGUUGUUGACCCAUUUGAACCAGUACCCUGAACAGAGCUAUACAGCAGUAAGUUGAUUGAUGGCAGGUGGAGAAUGGACAUCAUAAUUGUACACUCUUGGUGCCAGUGAAGAAGAAGACACAUGAAGGCCUGCCAUCCCCAGUGGAAAAUCAUCCCUUCCCCUUGUGUGUAUGUGACGGCGUAUAUGUAAUGGCUUCUGAUUCCUGUGAAAGCUGCCCAGCAACAAACGUGCUUCCACCAGAUGCCUCCCCAGAUCCACAGCAGGCACAUAGCUCUCCAAGGAAUGACCAGUUUUACUCUUACUGACUGUGCUUCUCAUUCUCUUGUCGUGAUAGGUCAAGGAAAAUGCCCCUUUGAUCAACCAGGAGCAAUUAAAGGGUCCUUCAGGUGGCCCCAUUUCCUUUACACUCAUAAAAGUGAAAUUGCAGCUGGUCUAGAAUAUCUCCUGGCCUUAACAAGGCACCAGAAGUAAGUACACCCAGCAGAAAGUCAGGCUGCCAGUAUUAACAAGAGAAGAAGGUGUCACAGAAAAGAAAACAAAACGAAAGGCGGCUUAAAGUCAAUAACUGGCUGCAUUGAGUAUCUACUCGUUAAAUAUUAGAGUCUCCAGGUUAAAUCAUUCAUUUUGUUAAUAAUAAUAGCUACCGUUUAGUGAGGUCUUUUUCUGGGCCAGGCACUGUCCUAGUUGCCUUUUACGUUAUUUAAUUCUCACAGCACUAAUAUUAUCAUCCUCUAUUUUAUUGCUCAGGAAUCAGAGUUAAAUACGAUGCCCAAGGUCACACCCUAAUAUGGGAAGCUAGGACCAGGUCUAGCAGACUUUACACCCUGGCUCUAAAGCUCUCCUCUCCUAGCUACACAGAUUCCAGCUGAUGCUGGUGAAUAACCUUCACUCAUCCACCCCCUCUCCGCAGACACAUACAGUAUGGCCUUGGGGCGAAGGAGUUUGUCUUUUUUAGGCCUUGUUUUGUACAGUUUGCAAAGUACAGUGUACAGUGAGGGAAGGAGGGUUAAGGUGAGCAGUGAAAUUCUCUUCUGACCUGAAACUGCACUUUUGGAAGGAGGAAGCUUUUACACUUGCUUUAUCUCCUUUAUUCCAAGGCCAUAAAUAAUGAAAUCACCAGGAAAGGCAAAGCCAUGGCUUCUUUUGCCAUAGUCUUAGAAUCCCAAAAGUCAGCCAACUCUGGCACUGAGCCUGUAAUUUAAUUAAACAUGUUGAAGGCGUCUCCAACAGCUUGACAGUAGGCCAGCUUCAUAUUCUUGGAAAGGGACUGCAGAGGGAGCUUGUCUGUUUUAUAGUUCAUUUACUGAGUUGAACCCUCAUGGCCGUAGCAUACCAUUUGCCUUACAAAAAUGGCCCACAACCUUCAUACCAUUUUAGGGAGUCAGUCACAACUCAUUUACCUACGGCUCAGUCAGCUUCACCUAUCCCUAUUUCUUAAACAUGAAAUCUGCACAAAUGGUUUGACAGUAAUUGAGACAGAACUGGAAAAAUCUGAAACCUCUGCUGGACCCAUUCAAAAAUGACUGAGAACUAAGAAGUGAGUAAACAAGACUUCUGACCAGUUGAAAUAAAUAGUAUGAAGCAAACACAUAAGAGAAAGGCCAUCUGUCUACCCAUAAAGCACCUACUCAGAACCUAUUUAUUCCUGUUUCACACAUAGUUCUAAAUGUUUGCUGUCUGGUUUCCAAGCCUACAGCAGAUUAAAUUUAAGGGCACAAAACAGAUUUCUAGAGGAAACUUAACUCAAGAAGGAGAAGGAGUUGACAGCAAUAGAGAAGACAGAAAAAGUUUAAGUAGACUGAAGAGCUCAAAAAGCACUGUUUUAGGGGGGCAUUUAGUGCCCCAAAUAGCUCUUUACACAUCUCAGUUUCUAAACACCUCAUAUCAUAGGACUGUGUAAUUAUACUCAAAGUGAUGACCCUGAGCGUCACACCUAAAGAAACUAAGUUAUGCUCAGGAGAAAGCAAGAAUUUGCAUAUCAAACAUUUUAGAAAUACUCCUAUCACAAAGGUAAAGAAAAAUGAAACAAAUUCCCCUUUUAGGGGUUAAAGGAAUAAACCUUGGACUAUCCAGAACAUCUAGCUGAGACAAAACAUCCCCCACCUGAGGUUUUAUUGUUCCAGGAGCCUCUUGUGUUUAGAGAGUUUUUUCAUAGCUUUGUAAGUGACUUUCAUGCUACAGUGCUUUGCAUAUAAUGGCAUGAACAAUGGAAGUGCCAAGUUUCCAAUUGAUGAGUAAAACUAAUAACCAGAAUACAGGUCACAUCCUGUUACAACAAAUACUGCUACUAUAAAAAUCACUUAAGCAUCCCUGUUAUCUCUCAGCCCCUGUCAAUUCCCCAUUUAUUUCAAGCAAUAGUCAUUACAGCAAACUUGGGGUAUAAUAAAAAGAAACUGGACCCUCACCACAAGUUGGGUGUAACACAAUUUAACCUGUAAUACCAGGUUCUUUCUUGUAUUUCUCCAGUUCUUUGCUGAAAGAAAAAUAAAUCUUAUGUAGACAUAAUACCAGCCUGGGAAGCUGGUAUUUAGUAGUUGUUGCUAGGAGAAGGAAGAAUUCAGAAGCAAAGGACACAUGGAGCUGUGUGGCAAACGCUCACUAGGGAAUUUGGUCUCCAGGGCCACUUUUGACCUUAAUCCACAUUGGAGCCAUCGACCACAGAGUCGCUUGCUUCUAAUAGUGAUGUAAUGCAUAUAUUAAGCCCUGGGAUGAAAACAUGAUUCACUUCCCAUGGGUCAUUGAGCCCUUUGUGGCAAUCUGGCCCUGAUCCGAUGACCCUGAGAUAAAGAAAUUGAGAAACAUGUGACUGGAACUAUCCUUUAUCGCAAGAUGCACUGCUUUCAACACUGUUGAUUGUGUGUAGAAAUGAUGUAAGUUAAUCAGCUGCAUUCCAUUUGGUAUACAGGCAAAGAUUUUUCCCUGCCUAUCCAUGUGCUUGUGGUAAUGAUGAGUUUUAACAUUUGCUAUAAUUUUCUCUUUUUUCUACUUUCUUGUUUUCUUUCUGUCCUUCUCUUUCUUUUACUUAAACACUUUUUAUGACUACAUUGCAACCAAUAUUUUGUAACACCCUUAGCAGCAGUAGGCGUUAAAUCAUAGUUCAUGUCUGAACAGUACAAUCAGCAAUAGGAAAAGGAGUGGGGAGGGAGAGGGAAAUUGUCCACCUUUUCCUGAUGAUAAUGCCUGGCUCAGGCCCCAGAUUCACAUCAUACUGUGAAGAAGUUCAUAAAUUCUGGGCACUGCUCAGCCUGAGGAGGCAGGCAAUAUCCCUUCAUACCUCAGGGUGAGAUGAAUGGUCUGUUGAAGUCAUGCCAGUACAGAAUACGUUCACCUCUGCUUGCCUUCUCCCCCAAGCCAGAAUGUAGUUGAACACUUACAUGUCCCAGGCCAGAAGAUCAGGGUAUGAGGAGAUUGAAUACUUGGCUUGGCUCUUGAAAACAUUGAGUCCAAGUGUAGUUCUCUGGCUUGAAGGUCGCCAUUUGCUGCCUCACCAUUUUUAUUAGGACAUCUGGAGAUUGCAGGUGUUAAUUGGAAGUAACUUUUCUGUAUUUGGUUUCUCUCCACACAUUCAGGCUUCUAGGACCUUUUGACCCAGUUGGAUGGCUAUAUCCUAGUAUCAGAUUCAGCCUAUUCCAAGUGGGAAGAACCAUGAUAGACAAGUAAGAUUGCUCUUUGGCUCGGUGGCGGUGGUGGUGUUGACUCUUGUCAGUGGGGUGAUUAUGGGUGGCCAUGAUGGUAAAGAAACCACUGAUAACAAUAAAAAUGGGUAUUUUCUCAGCACUUAAAAAACCAAUUUCCAUCUGCUAACAGGGGUUCUGAUCUCUUUUCCCAAAACUCCUUUUUUCCCUAGAAGAUACUGGCCUGUCUGAUCAAAAAAGAGCAUUCCUUCUGAGACCAUACCUAGCCAACUUAUGGCCAAACUAUACUUGCCUGUUAAUUUACUCAAAACUAGGUUGCCUUUUAAACCUCUUUCCCCACCUCUGGCAUGAGGACAAGACAUGUGGAGGAAGAAUUAGGUCACCUGGGGGUCCACUGUUGCAUCUGGUUAAGUGGUGUAAAGAAGCCAAGAUUUCUAGAAGUGUCUGUGUUUUGUCGUUUCCGAGAUGGUGAGGAAAUCUGUCUGGAGUGUUUAUGCCCCUCUUCAUAGCCAAGCCAUGGGCUUUCUUUUGUAUCGUGCUACUGAGGUUAGUCACCGCCCUCAGAAGGGACAAUUUCACGAUGACUUACUUCCUAGUAAUCACUGGAACAGUCUCACGAGGAUGCGCACAGCUGCUGCGUUUCUUUGGGCCUGGCACGUUCUCAGAUGGCAGACUUGCAGAACAAAUGAGAGGCCUGGCCCGGUUCACAGGCAGAGUGAUCCAGAGUUCAGGCUUCCCCUUGCCUUUUAUCCUCCGCCCUCCUUCCUCUGUUCCCCCACCACCUCUUCUUCUGGUCUCUCCAUCUGGAAACCAUGAGCCUCAUGGAUUCCAGGCACAAGUCUCAGAUUUCAGAUGUUUGGGAAAUGUCUUUGCUUGGGUCAUUCUUCAAGAGUAAGAGAAUUCAAUUUGGGAGGAGAAACAGCUGAGACCCUUCCUUGCACAGAAGAGAAAAUAAAUAAGGUGUGGUACAUAUCCAUCCCCUUACCCACUCAGUUCCAAACCCACACACAAUGUCUGAUUUCAGAAACAAUAUUGAGAUUCCCUCCUGGGAGGGAACAGAAUGGAAAAAACCAAAAUCUCCACUCCUAAAAACAUACUUUUCUCCCUUCUGAGGUAUCAACAUAACUGGCAUCAGAUAAUAGGAUGUAACUGAUUUUGUGUGUGGUGUUGGGGAGGGUCUCUGGAGGGUGGAACUAAGAGUGAUGGAAUGAAGUGAAAAGUAAAAUGUAGCCUAAGUUGUUAGGGAGGAACUGUUAACGUUAAGAACCACUUAACCCCAGUGUUGCAUCUCCAGGAAAAAGAACAAUGUGUGGUCUUCUGUCCUUGGAAAAUGGAAUGAGCUUUCUCCUAAUAAAUAACUAGGUUUCAGAAGCAGACAGACUUGGUUCUAGUACUGGCUCUAUACUUAACUAACUCUGAGGAAUUAAAGAAGCAGCUGGAUCUGUGGGGCUUAGUACAGUGCCCGACACAUAGGAGGAACUUAGUAAGUGGUAGCUUAUGACCACUGUGUAUUGUGAUGAGCAUCACUCAUCACAUUGGAGUCCUCUUGGGGCUGUAGAUGGAGCCUGCCCUCAUGUUGUCCCACACUGGCUUGUCUGCGCAGCCUCUAGCUCCUCCCCAAGGCUACUUCUUAGCCCUCUCUACCACACCCACCCAAUUAUGCUUUCAUGUCAGUUAUAAGGAUCUCAAGUUAUAUGUAUUUAUUUGUUCAUAUGGUUACUGUCUGUACCUCUUUGAAGCUUGUAUUGUUUGUUCACUGAUGUAUUAGCAAUGUUGAUGAAAUUGCCUGACCCAAAAUAGAUGUUCAAAAAUG